UUAAAAAUUAUGUGUGCGUGUGUGUGUGUGUAUGCGCGCGCACGCGCGUACGUGUGAGAGAAAGAGAGAGGAUGAAGCACGUGAAAAGAAUAACUUUAAUUUAGAGGUGUACGUAAACAUGUAUUUAAUUAAUGCGAACGAAUGAGAAAGAGAGAGAGAGAGAGGGAAUAAGAUUAACAAUAAGUUUCAUUUUAAAUGAAAUACGUAAAAUAUAUAUAGGAAGACAUUUUUACAUUGUAUUCGUUAUUUGACGCUUUCUCGUGACGGAGAAACAGUGAACCCGUGUGUGAUGUGAAUAAUUAUCAAGUGACAUUGAAAAUUGGCGACGAACGAACUAAUACAUAAAAAAAGAUAGAGAUAGAAAUGAAAAGAACAGAAGAAAGUACACGUGGACGUUUUAGGAUAUAAUAUGUGUCAUUGUACACAUGCAUGCAUGCAUUUGGAUGCAUGUUGCAUGCAUGUAUGUAUGUAUGUAUGUAUAUUUAACGUAUAACGCGUAUCAGUAUAAUAAGUUACUUGUACAUUUUUAAACAAAUAUAAAACAACUUUAAUAGACACUUUUCGCUAAAUAUACUUACAAUUAGAUCUUAAAUAAUCCCGUUAAUAUUUUCAUUUCUCUUCGAUAUUUGUAUCAAAAACGAGAAAGAAAGAAAGAAAGAAAGGAAGAAAAAAUAUUUCGUUCGUUAGUCCCGUUAUUCGAUGUUGCUUGACUUUCGUAGAUGGUAGUCUCGAAAUAUUUUGCCGUUGUUUCGUAAUAAUAUUCGAACCACGAACGGAAACCCAUAAACGAAUAGUGUUACAUACAUACAUACAUACAUGUAUACAUAGAUGGGCACAUGUACUACACUUCCACGCACACACGAGUGAGCACAUCCUCUGUUCGCGCCAUGUUGAACUUCUCUUCUUCUUUUAUGCAACGUUGUUGUUGUUGUUAUAUCUAUGGACAGUUUGAUAUGUAAAUUUAUUAUUUCUUUUUCAUUUUGAUUUUCAUUUUUUGUUCAGAAAACAUUCCUCUGUACACUAUACAUUGCUUCAACCUAUAUAUCGUGUAUAUAUACAUGCAUAAAUAGAUAUUUGUAAGGCGAUAUUCCGUGUGUAUGUGUGCGCGUGCGUGCGUUGCGUAUGCGUAUGCGUAUGCGUGUCGUGUGUGAAACAGAAAAUUGGGGAUCACGAUUUGUGCGUUUUUACGUUAAUCCUUCAAUUUCUUCUUUGACUUUAUUUUGAAUUACGCUAAAAUCGUAUUCUCCAUUCGUUUGGAGAUUUAUUUGUAAUAGUUGGAAAGUUAAAAAAAAAAAUCGUCGGGGAAGAGAUGAUGGACAAUUUUUAGCAGUUAGAAUUUUUUGCUAUACUUACAUAUGUUGAAAUGACAAUGACAUUGAUGUGAUAUUAAAGGUGUUGAAAAGGCAAAAGCCAAAGGAAACAAUUAGAAGAUGACAAAAUAAUCAUACAAGCUUGAUUCUUGAUAAAUUGCGCUGGGUUUAAACCCAAUUCUUGAGCCGAUUCGCCUAACUCACCCCUCGUUCGUCGUCGUCGUCGUCGUCGUCGUCGUCGUCGUCUACGAAAAACGAACGGCUGUCUUGUAAACGAGAUUGCGUAGUUAUGGCUAUUGGAGAUACUUAAUUUAAUUAAUCGCAACGAGAGAUCAAUCGAUCAUUGUAAUCAACCACAAAAAAAGCAAAAGAGAUGAACGUGCUGGGUAUUUAUUACUGUGCAUCACGCUUACACAGUGGGCUGCUGAUCGUGUCGUCUGAAAGGCCUGGAACGUGACAAGACGAUGACAAUGACAA